UACGUAGGGGGCAAGCGUUAUCCGGAAUUAUUGGGCGUAAAGAGUACGUAGGUGGCAACCUAAGCGCAGGGUUUAAGGCAAUGGCUCAACCAUUGUUCGCCCUGCGAACUGGGAUGCUUGAGUGCAGGAGAGGAAAGCGGAAUUCCUAGUGUAGCGGUGAAAUGCGUAGAUAUUAGGAGGAACACCAGUGGCGAAGGCGGCUUUCUGGACUGUAACUGACACUGAGGUACGAAAGCAUGGGUAGCAAACAGG
rnacentral:rRNA from 1 species